rnacentral:rRNA from 1 species
UACGUAGGCAGCAAGCGUUGUUCGGAAUUACUGGGCGUAAAGAGUGUGUAGGCGGUGCUCUAAGUUCGGUGUGAAAUCUCCCGCUUAACUGGGGAGGGUGCGCCGGAAACUGGAGUGCUCGAGCGUGGGAGAGGAAGCGGAAUCCUGGUGUAGCGGUGAAAUGCGUAGAUAUCAGGAGGAACACCUGCGGUGUAGACGGCUUUCUGGACCAUUGCUGACGCUGAGACACGAAAGCGUGGGUAGCAAACAGG